GAGUAGAAGAUCUUUAGCAGUGGAGGCUGAAAGAGGCUUGGCUGAGUGACUACUGAAAGGAUACCUGAGAGGUCAAACCUACUUAGAAAUGUUACAGUAGGUCUAAAAACUCAGGAAGAGAACAGGAAUAUUUUCCAAUUUCAAGAACUCAAAACAAAAUCAUGGAGUAACAAAGAGUAUUGGAAAUCUGUGUCAAAAUCCAUCUCUUUGGCUGACCUUUGGGAAGGCUCCGUUGAUGUGUUCUGAGAUCUACGGAGGAAGAGAAAGACACAUCAUGAACACAGCGAAUACAGUGCAAAUGGAAGAUACUCCAAGAAUAGCACAGAAAUAAAAAAAAAAUCUUUCAAAGCCAAGAACAUAGGAACAGACUUAAAGCACAGCUCUGUUGCUUGGUUGUUACUUGGUAAACUGAGCACACCUAGAGAACAGAAUAUAUACACUACUGACUUCCCUGUUGCAUAUAGCAACUCUGGGAUCAAUUGUGAAGGGCUUUUUUAAAAUUGAAAUGAGAUUAUGUGAGGCAGUCUUUUAACAGUAGAUAACAAAUCUCAGUUGGAUGGUUGAAAUUGUCUUCCUUUGACUAGGAGGAUUUUGAAGACAACUCUUGACAGCUUAGUAACUUUAAUAUUUUGCUUAACUAAAGAGAAAAGUUAGGACAUGUGAAUUGUUGAUGAAGAAAUCCACAUCUCUGCCCUUACCUAAUAUCAGCCAUUUGACAGUCUUUUUUAAGAGAAAAACAGGCGAAGAAAUGGUGAAUUGUGCACUUGUCAUUAAUUUGUCAACAUAUUGAGGUGAUUUGGGUCAAGAUAGUGGCUGCUCAGCCAAGCAUUCAUUGCUUCACUAAAUGCUGAGAGUAGUACAAGAAGUUGGGGAAGCCUGUAAGAAAGUUUAGUUUGGCAAAGAAAUGAAGAACCAAAUAAAGGAGAACUCCAGAAGGAGACCUUCUCCAUCAGUUCACAUGACACCUAGAGUGAUCAGGGGAAUUGGGGUAUGUCGAGUCAGGAAAUUGACUAAGGGCAGUGUUUAUCCCCAGUAGGAGAGCUUUGAGGUAGGAAACGGGAAAGACUGGGAAUCUCUUGACAUGUUUUAAGAGUUCUUUUAUGAGCUCAUAAGCCCAAUAUCCUCAUAGGUCCACAAGCAGUAAAGACAGAAGUGUUUGUUUCUCAGUUUAGGGACCCUAGUUUCUUUCAUGUUUGAUUCAGAGUUUUUAUCAGCCUAAAUAAAAGUUUCAUUGAUACAAGAUGAAGAGAGAUAGCCCUCCCUGAUUUUCCUGUGUAAUAACUCUGUGUUUAUAUUAAGGACACAGAGGCAGAGCAGCACGUCUCUUAUCUUACGGGCUGCUCAGUCCAUUUCUUUUUCCAGUAAAUGGAAGGGAUUAAACCUAAACAAGAAAAGGAAUGACUACAAAGACAGUAGGUGUACUGCAGCAGUGAUAUCAGUAAGAUCAGAGUUCUUCUCUAGAGGCAUUUCACAGGUACAACCUAUAAAAUUUAUUCUCUUCAUGUUUAAUAGGGAUUAGCUGGUGAUAGAAAACAGUUGGGUUCUGCUGGCUUUCCCUUGGAAAUUUCUAUCAAUUCUAUUAAUUUAAGAGAUGAGAAAGGGUGUGCAAAGCACUGAGAUCUCAUGUCCCACCCUCAAACUUGUUCACUGCAGUAACAGUGAAAAAAAUAAGUCUUUUGCUCUGCUGAAGAUAUAUGCUGAGAAUUGCUAUAAUUUUAACAUUGUUACUGUUGUUUAAUUUAUUUGAUCAGAACAGGGUUAUUUCCCUUCCAACGUAAAUGAUUCUAUGAUU
rnacentral:lncRNA from 7 species